CGCUGGCGGCAUGCCUUACACAUGCAAGUCGAACGGCAGCACGGGGGCAACCCUGGUGGCGAGUGGCGAACGGGUGAGUAAUACAUCGGAACGUGUCCUGUAGUGGGGGAUAGCCCGGCGAAAGCCGGAUUAAUACCGCAUACGACCUGAGGGAGAAAGCGGGGGAUCUUCGGACCUCGCGCUGGAGGGGCGGCCGAUGGCAGAUUAGCUAGUUGGUGGGGUAAAGGCCUACCAAGGCGACGAUCUGUAGCUGGUCUGAGAGGACGACCAGCCACACCGGGACUGAGACACGGCCCAGACUCCUACGGGAGGCAGCAGUGGGGAAUUUUGGACAAUGGGGGCAACCCUGAUCCAGCAAUGCCGCGUGUGUGAAGAAGGCCUUCGGGUUGUAAAGCACUUUUGUCCGGGAAGAAAACCAACUGGCUAAUAUCCGGGUGGGAUGACGGUACCGGAAGAAUAAGCACCGGCUAACUACGUGCCAGCAGCCGCGGUAAUACGUAGGGUGCGAGCGUUAAUCGGAAUUACUGGGCGUAAAGCGUGCGCAGGCGGUUUGUUAAGACCGAUGUGAAAU
rnacentral:rRNA from 1 species